rnacentral:rRNA from 1 species
CUAGCAUAUCAAUAAGCGGAGGGAAAGAAACCAACAGGGAUUGCCCUAGUAACGGCGAGUGAAGCGGCAACAGCUCAAAUUUGAAAUCUGGCGUCUUUGGCGUCCGAGUUGUAAUUUGCAGAGGGCGCUUUGGCAUUGGCAGCGGUCCAAGUUCCUUGGAACAGGACGUCACAGAGGGUGAGAAUCCCGUACGUGGUCGCUAGCCUUUACCGUGUAAAGCCCCUUCGACGAGUCGAGUUGUUUGGGAAUGCAGCUCUAAAUGGGAGGUAAAUUUCUUCUAAAGCUAAAUACUGGCCAGAGACCGAUAGCGCACAAGUAGAGUGAUCGAAAGAUGAAAAGCACUUUGGAAAGAGAGUUAAAAAGCACGUGAAAUUGUUGAAAGGGAAGCGCUUGCAGCCAGACUUGCCUGUAGUUGCUCAUCCGGGUUUCUACCCGGUGCACUCUUCUAUAGGCAGGCCAGCAUCAGUUUGGGCGGUUGGAUAAAGGUCUCUGUCAUGUACCUCCUUUCGGGGAGAACUUAUAGGGGAGACGACAUGCAACCAGCCUGGACUGAGGUCCGCGCAUCUGCUAGGAUGCUGGCGUAAUGGCUGUAAGCGGCCCGUCUUGAAACACGGACCAAGGAGUCUAACAUCUAUGCGAGUGUUUGGGUGUCAAGCCCGAGCGCGUAAUGAAAGUGAACGGAGGUGGGAACCUUUCGGGGUGCACCAUCGACCGAUCCUGAUGUCUUCGGAUGGAUUUGAGUAAGAGCAUAGCUGUUGGGACCCGAAAGAUGGUGAACUAUGCUUGAAUAGGGUGAAGCCAGAGGAAACUCUGGUGGAGGCUCGCAGCGGUUCUGACGUGCAAAUCGAUCGUCAAAUUUGGGCAUAGGGGCGAAAGACUAAUCGAACUAUCUAGUAGCUGGUUCCUGCCGAUCU